UGGGGUGUCGCCAAGUGGUAAGGCAGUAGCUUUUGGUGCUACCAUUCGGGGGUUCGAAUCCCUCUACCCCAUCCA
rnacentral:tRNA from 1 species